rnacentral:lncRNA from 1 species
CAAAACUCUUUCAAAGAACGACAAUCUCGAUGAGAAGGUCCAGACCAUACAGAAUACCUGAGGAUGUUCAACGAUUUCGGCCCAAACUCUGUGUGAUUGGGCUUCAUAGAUCUAUUACCCUUAACCCAGAUAGAUUAUUAUCCCUAAUAUCCACACUGGAAUAGAUAAGAGAGUCAAAACUAUGGAACAUUUUCCCACUCAUCAUCCAAUCAAAUAUCCCUAUUCUCUCCACAUCACACGAC